UACGUAGGGGGCUAGCGUUGUCCGGAUUUAUUGGGCGUAAAGAGCGUGUAGGCGGCCAGGUAGGUCUGCUGUGAAAACUCGAGGCUCAACCUCGAGACGUCGGCGGAAACCAUCUGGCUAGAGUCCGGAAGAGGAGAGUGGAAUUCCUGGUGGUAGCGGUGAAAUGCGCAGACAUCAGGAAGAACACCCGUGGCGAAGGCGGCUCUCUGGGACGGUACUGACGCUGAGACGCGAAAGCGUGGGGAGCGAACAGG
rnacentral:rRNA from 1 species